AAAAAUCGCUCGAAAGGACAACGGAAAAGCCGACGCAUUAUCCAGGCUUGUGUUCAUGGGGAUAGACGGCCUUGACAGAACGGUUCACAUUAAAAUCAUCACAGAACCCAGCAUCAGUCAAAUCCUCGACAUCAUGGACAUUGACAACGAACCAUCCUGGAUGGACCCAAUCAUAGAAUUCAUCACAAAUGGAAAUCUACCAGGCGAUGCCAGGUUGGCCAGAAGCAUCAGAGCCCGAGCUCCUAGGUACUGCAUGAUCAGCGGUGUCCUCUUUCGCAGAAGUAUUACUCUUCC
rnacentral:lncRNA from 1 species